rnacentral:rRNA from 1 species
UGGGGAAUAUUGGACAAUGGGCGAAAGCCUGAUCCAGCCAUGCCGCGUGUGUGAAGAAGGUCUUCGGAUUGUAAAGCACUUUAGGUUGGGAGGAAGGGCAGUAAGCGAAUACCUUGCUGUUUUGACGUUACCGACAGAAUAAGCACCGGCUAACUCUGUGCCAGCAGCCGCGGUAAUACAGAGGGUGCAAGCGUUAAUCGGAAUUACUGGGCGUAAAGCGCGCGUAGGUGGUUCGUUAAGUUGAAUGUGAAAGCCCCGGGCUCAACCUGGGAACUGCAUCCAAAACUGGCGAGCUAGAGUAGGGCAGAGGGUGGUGGAAUUUCCUGUGUAGCGGUGAAAUGCGUAGAUAUAGGAAGGAACACCAGUGGCGAAGGCGACCACCUGGGCUCAUACUGACACUGAGGUGCGAAAGCGUGGGGAGCAAACAGG